rnacentral:rRNA from 1 species
GAACUAAGGCUUACGGUGGAUACCUAGGCACCUAUAGACGAUGAAGGGCGCAGAUACCGGCGAUACGCUUCAGGGAGUUGGUAACAAGCUUAGAUCUGAAGAUUCCCGAAUUGGGCAACCACAAGAACUUCCUAUCAAUUCAUAACUAGGAAAGAGUAAACCCAGUGAAUUGAAACAUCUUAGUAGCUGGAGGAAAAGAAAGCAAAAGCGAUUCCCGUAGUAGCGGCGAGCGAACCGGGAUAAGCCUAAACCUGUAAAAAGGGGUAGUGGGA